GCCUAAAAAUCACCAGCUCGGCAGGAAACACAGUUCCGACGAUGCAUGCCAAGCCUAUGUACUUGAAAACAUUUCCCCUUUCUCCAGCCUCGAGUUUUCUCUGCUUGUCCCACCACCUGAAACCCAAUUUCUCUUUAUUUCGGAGACCCGAGCACUUGCCAUUAAAGAAUAUUAUUUUUAUUCAUUUUUUUCAAAAAACAGUGUUGGGACAAUAAGAGAUCCCCUCUGCCCGUCUGGUUUCUCUUGAUUCACACCCCCGGGCUGUAACGUCAAACGCCAGCGGAGGGUCCCCGCCCCCACCAGGCCGCGGCUACGAGGCAAGGACUAAACCCGCGCUGGCGGCUGAGGGAAGGGCCCUGCACCCCGCACCCACCCCCGCGGGCCCAGGCUCCCCGACACGCUCCCGACACUUACGGCUGUCGGGAAGCCGCAAAGAGAGCCGUCCCUUCCCGCCUCACGUACCCGCACAAAAUGGCGGCCAAGACCCUACCUGGCUUCCUCCUCCACCGCCUUCUGCUCUGCGUGCUGACGUCACACACACGCGCCGUGCGUGGCCCCUCUACCACCGCCCGCCCUGCGGAGUGACGCCACACGCACACAUCAUGCACAAUCCCAUCCACCGCCGCCGGGGAAGACUCAGUCUCCUUGAUAGGGGCGGGCAGGGACCAGCUCCGCCCCUUGCUGUGGGCGGGGCUAAGCGGUCUGGGCCGUUGGGGUGGUUGUGGUCCCCUGGGCUUCAAGGAACUCACUCUCUCAGAAAACAAACAGCAGCAGAAAAUGCAGAGAACAGGGGAUGGCGAUGGUGACACAGCAGUAGAGGACACGAGGAUGCUGGUAUUCCCAUAGCAUCCUUAUAUAGUCCAAAAGCAGAAAUAGCUCAUCUAAAAAUGGCCAUCUCAGAGGGGGUUGUGAUCUAAAUAAAAGCAGAGAAGCUCUAGUCGUGACA
rnacentral:lncRNA from 1 species